UGUUUCGGCAAGGGGGUCAUCCCGACUUACCAACCCGAUGCAAACUGCGAAUACCGGAGAAUGUUAUCACGGGAGACACACGGCGGGUGCUAACGUCCGUCGUGAAGAGGGAAACAACCCAGACCGCCAGCUAAGGUCCCAAAGUCAUGGUUAAGUGGGAAACGAUGUGGGAAGGCCCAGACAGCCAGGAUGUUGGCUUAGAAGCAGCCAUCAUUUAAAGAAAGCGUAAUAGCUCACUGGUCGAGUCGGCCUGCGCGGAAGAUGUAACGGG
rnacentral:rRNA from 1 species